GUCUUUGUGAAGUUAUACAAAGUUUGACCUGCCCAAUGAAUUAUUGAAUGGCCGCGGUAUACCUGACCGUGCGAAGGUAGCAUAAUCAUUAGUCUUUUAAUUGAAGGCUUGUAUGAAUGGUUUGACGAAAAACUAACUGUUUCAAAUAAAAAAUUUGAAUUUAACUUUUAAGUGAAAAGGCUUAAAUAAAUUAAAAAGACGAUAAGACCCUAUAAAUCUUUACAUUUCAUUUUAUAUUUUGUGAAUUAUUGUAUAAAGGAAAAUAUGAAAUGUAAUGUUGCGUUGGGGCAACGAUUGUAUAAUAAAAUUAACUGUUAAUUAAAUAAAACAAAUAUAUUUGUUAAAUGUAGUUGAUCCUUGAUAAAGAUUUAAAGAUUAAGAUACUUUAGGGAUAACAGCGUUAUUUUUUUUGAGAGUUCUUAUCGAAGAAAAAGAUUGCGACCUCGAUGUUGAAUUAAAAAUUCUUUUUAAUGUAGCAGUUAAAUAAGAAAGUCUGUUCGACUUUUAAUUUUUU
rnacentral:rRNA from 1 species